GCUGGAUAAGAAAUGCAUCGAAGAUAUUAAUCAGCUCAUAGCACAGAGGUUGAUAUUACUGUCAUAAUAAUAAUAUAUAACAACAUACAAGAUCAAAUGUGGUUGGAGAAAUGAAGAACAGCAAAACUCUAACCCCGAGUAAGACCAUUUAAAGGGACCAAAAAUGGAUGAACAUACUGGGCACUAUGAACUAAAAGAUCUUUGGCUAAAGAAGAGAGGAAGACUCAUUCAACUCCUACAAGUGAAUUAAGGAGCUCUGAGAAGGCAAAGCCAGCCCAGGAGGGUGGGCAGACUAAGAACAAUGUGCCUUGUCUUGAUACACAGUUGUGGUAUAGGUAACAAAAUCUGAGUAUCCAACCUAAGAUGUUACCCCUCACCUCACCAGAAUACCUCCAAUCCCUUCCCUGGAAACACAGAAUAAAUUCCUAUAGAAAGUUA
rnacentral:lncRNA from 1 species